rnacentral:rRNA from 1 species
CAAUAGCGUAUAUUAAAGUUGUUGCAGUUAAAAAGCUCGUAGUUGGAUUUCGGAUGGCGGUCACGGGUCGGCUCUCACGAGUGUGUGCCUGUGGCGGCGGUCUUUGUUUACGGAGGGUGGUGUCAGCGAUUAGGUUCGGUGGUGCCGGAUGCGCUCCGUUCGUUUACUUUGAACAAAUUAGAGUGUUUAAAGCAGGCCUUUGCCUUGAAUACAUUAGCAUGGAAUAAUGGAAUAGGACUUGCGGUUCUAUUUCGUUGGUUUCUAGGACGCGAGUAAUGAUUAAUAGGGAUAGUUGGGGGCAUUCAUAUUUAAUUGUCAGAGGUGAAAUUCUUAGAUUUAUGAAAGAUGAACUACUGCGAAAGCAUUUGCCAAGGAUGUUUUCAUUAA